GAAUAUUGGACAAUGGGCGCAAGCCUGAUCCAGCCAUGCCGCGUGAGUGAUGAAGGCCCUAGGGUUGUAAAGCUCUUUUAUCGGCGAAGAUAAUGACGGUAACCGGAGAAGAAGCCCCGGCUAACUUCGGGACAGCAGCCGCGGUAAGACGAAGGGGGCUAGCGUUGUUCGGAAUUACUGGGCGUAAAGCGCACGUAGGCGGACAGUUAAGUCAGGGGUGAAAUCCCGGGGCUCAACCCCGGAACUGCCUUUGAUACUGGGUGUCUAGAGUAUGGAAGAGGUGAGUGGAAUUCCGAGUGUAGAGGUGAAAUUCGUAGAUAUUCGGAGGAACACCAGUGGCGAAGGCGGCUCACUGGUCCAUUACUGACGCUGAGGUGCGAAAGCGUGGGGAGCAAACA
rnacentral:rRNA from 1 species